rnacentral:snRNA from 1 species
AGAUGUGAGGAUAAUCUGUCAGUGAUGCCUUUAUCCUAUUGAUCACCAGGGUUGGUUCAGUGAAUCUAGCUUACCAGGUGAAUGUCCCCUUCCUUCUUUGGUACUCCAUGUGCAUUCUACCUGAAGUUUCAUUGUCAAUGGAAGAAGACAACCAUCCCAGAUGGAUUUGUACUUUCCUUCUCUGAAAAGUAUACCAUAGCUGGGGUCUCCUGCCAGAACUUCAAAGCAAUUAUUUCAUGGCAAGAAAGCUGCAAAGUGAU